GAGUCCUCCGGCCAGUUAUUGUCCGCACAAGUAUAAAUCCCAACCACCCUUCGAUCUCCCUGCCGCGGCUGCCCAUACACAUCACACAUCAAACUAACUGCCAGUUGGAGAGGAAGAGGGGAACCACCUCUCCGGCGCAAGAUGAAGGAGGGCACGGCAAACUGCAUCGACAUCAUCAUCGCCAUCAUCCUUCCCCCUCUCGGCGUCUUCCUUAAGUUCGGUUGCAAGGUCGAGUUCUGGCUCUGCCUCUUGCUCACCUUCCUCGGCUACCUUCCGGGGAUCAUCUACGCGAUCUACGCCAUCACAAAGUAGAGUACGGGAACAGAGCAACACUUGGAGAGAAGGAUGUAAAGUUCUUACCGGUGUCUUCUAGUUUGGAGAUUGAUUGUCAUCUGUCAAGCUACUCGUACUGAUUGAGCUCUAGUUUGGAGAUUGGUAUCUGUCAGAUAAUCAGAUUGAUUGUCAUCCGUCUGAUGAUUAUUUGUGGAUCCUAUAUAUGACGAUACGGUGUUUCGUGUGAGAAAUUCCUGCCAACUCGUGCUGUUUUUCUUUCGCGCGCAGUGGUCUCUGUAAAUCUGUCUCAAUAGUUGUUGAUAAUAAUAAAAAUGUAUCUUGCUUGGUGAUUUUGGAUGGU